UCCCUGAUGGCUCAAUGGUAGAGAAUCUGCCUGCCAAUGCAGGAGACAUGGGUUUGAUUUCUGAUCUGGGAA
rnacentral:tRNA from 1 species